AUAAAUAAAUCAAAACUUUCAACAACGGAUCUCUUGGUUCUGGCAUCGAUGAAGAACGCAGCAAAAUGCGAUAAGUAAUGUGAAUUGCAGAAUUCAGUGAAUCAUCGAAUCUUUGAACGCACAUUGCGCCCGCCAGUAUUCUGGCGGGCAUGCCUGU
rnacentral:rRNA from 1 species